GACGAACGCUGGCGGCGUGCUUAACACAUGCAAGUCGAACGAUGAAGCUGGAGCUUGCUCCGGUGGAUUAGUGGCGAACGGGUGAGUAACACGUGAGAAAUCUGCCCUUGACUCUGGGAUAACUGCGGGAAACUGUAGCUAAUACCGGAUAUUUUCCUUGGUGGGCAUCCACUGGGGAAGAAAGAAUUUCGGUCAAGGAUGAUCUCGCGGCCUAUCAGCUAGUUGGUGAGCUAAUGGCUCACCAAGGCGACGACGGGUAGCCGGCCUGAGAGGGCGACCGGCCAGCCUGGGACUGAGACGCGGCCCAGACUCCAACGGAAGGCAGCAGUGGGGAAUAUUGCACAAUGGGCGCAAGCCUGAUGCAGCAACGCCGCGUGAGGGAUGAAGGCCUUCGGGUUGUAAACCUCUUUUAGCAGGGAAGAAGCGAAAGUGACGGUACCUGCAGAAAAAGCACCGGCUAACUACGUGCCAGCCGCCGCCGUAA
rnacentral:rRNA from 1 species